rnacentral:rRNA from 1 species
UACAGAGGUCUCAAGCGUUGUUCGGAUUCAUUGGGCGUAAAGGGUGCGUAGGUGGCGCCGUAAGUCAGGUGUGAAAUUUCGGAGCUUAACUCCGAAACUGCAUUCGAUACUGCCGUGCUUGAGGACUGGAGAGGAGACUGGAAUUUACGGUGUAGCGGUGAAAUGCGUAGAUAUCGUAAGGAAGACCAGUGGCGAAGGCGGGUCUCUGGACAGUUCCUGACGCUGAGGCACGAAGGCCAGGGGAGCAAACGGG